rnacentral:lncRNA from 1 species
GGACUUCAACUGUGGGAGUCUUAGAGGGGGCCUAUAAUUAGGUGCAAAUAACCCUGAAAACCCCCAGGUACAGCUUGGAACGCCACAUAUAAUUUGUCAUCACUAGGUAAGUUGGGUGUCACUGUGGCUGCCAUAGCAUUUUUCCUGAAAGCAAAGAUGCUGUCCAAUAAUCCGAUCAUUUGAGGCAGACUGUGGAAAGAGUUCAUUCCAACUCCAGGAGAGGCUGGGGAGGGAGAGGCAGCUGGACAGAAGAGAUUUAGUGUGGGAUAACGUGGAGCUCCUUGGAUCCUGGUUCCAGUCCCAUGUUGACCUGCCUGCGGGGACUCAGGAAAGUCACUUGUGAUCUCUGCUUUUUUCCACAAAUCAAGGGAUUUGAUGUAGAAAGAGCUGCAGAAGGCAUCUCAUCCAUCAUUGGCAUACACAAGUGAUUUGGUCACAGAAUGCCCUGAAGACUAUAAAGCAUUGAACAGAAGCAGUCACCGUGAUUUUCAUGGACUCUGCCAGAGCAUCCAAGCCAGAGUUCGAUCUGCUUCAGAGCACUUCUUGUUUUCAAUGGCUGGAACAUCCUCUCUGGAGAUGACACCCCUCUUAGGUUAAAGUGUGUUCCUUAUUGUGUUGAAGAUGAUCUUUCUCAUUAGGAAUGAACUAUAGACACACAUGUCCACCUUCAAGCAGCAGUUACGACCUUGAAAUCACGGGUAUGUUGAGUAUCUGUACUGUAUAGUUGAGUACCUGUGUAAAUGAGUUUUCCAUGUAUAUAAUCUUAUAAAAAUAUAUGCAUGGAAAACUAAUUAGCUAAACCAGUGGAAUUAAUGUAUAUAUUCUUGUAUGCAUGCAUGCAUUUAUUUUUUGUAAUCAUGGAGAUCUUUUACCAAAUAAAAUCCUGUGUGGG